GGAAGAUCAUAGCUCAGUGGUAGAGCGUCUGCUUUGCAUGCAGAAGGUCCUAGGUUCAAUCCCCAGCAUCUCCA